UACGUAGGGGGCAAGCGUUGUCCGGAAUUAUUGGGCGUAAAGCGCGCGCAGGCGGUUGAUUAAGUUUGGUGUUUAAGCCCGGGGCUCAACCCCGGUUCGCACUGAAAACUGAUCGACUUGAGUGUAGGAGAGGAAAGUGGGAAUUCCACGUGUAGCGGUGAAAUGCGUAGAGAUGUGGAGGAACACCAGUGGCGAAGGCGACUUCUGGCCUAUAACUGACGCUGAGGCGGCGAAAGCCGUGGGGAGCGAACGAGGGAAUUG
rnacentral:rRNA from 1 species